AUUGAACGCUGGCGGCAUGCCUUACGCAUGCAAGUCGAACGGUAACAGGUCUUCGGAUGCUGACGAGUGGCGAACGGGUGAGUAAUACAUCGGAACGUGCCUAGUCGUGGGGGAUAACUACUCGAAAGAGUGGCUAAUACCGCAUGAGAUCUACGGAUGAAAGCAGGGGAUCGCAAGACCUUGCGCUACUAGAGCGGGCGAUGGCAGAUUAGGUAGUUGGUGGGAUAAAAGCCUACCAAGCCGACGAUCUGUAGCUGGUCUGAGAGGACGAUCAGCCACACUGGGACUGAGACACGGCCCAGACUCCUACGGGAGGCAGCAGUGGGGAAUUUUGGACAAUGGGCGCAAGCCUGAUCCAGCAAUGCCGCGUGCAGGAUGAAGGCCUUCGGGUUGUAAACUGCUUUUGUACGGAACGAAAAGCCCCGGGUUAAUACCCUGGGGUCAUGACGGUACCGUAAGAAUAAGCACCGGCUAACUACGUGCCAGCAGCCGCGGUAA
rnacentral:rRNA from 1 species